UUCGUCGUCGUGUAAUCCGGUCUAGUAUGCGCGGCUGUCGCCCGCACGACCCGGGUUCAAAUCCCGGCCAAGGGG
rnacentral:tRNA from 1 species